rnacentral:snRNA from 1 species
GUGAGACAGUUCGGUCCA